rnacentral:rRNA from 1 species
UACGGAGGGGGCUAGCGUUGUUCGGAAUUACUGGGCGUAAAGCGCACGUAGGCGGCUUUGUAAGUUAGAGGUGAAAGCCCAGGGCUUAACCCUGGAAUUGCCUUUAAGACUGCAUCGCUAGAAUUGUGGAGAGGUAAGUGGAAUUCCGAGUGUAGAGGUGAAAUUCGUAGAUAUCGGAAGGAACACCAGUGGCGAAAGCGGCUUCCUGGUCCAGCACCGACGUUCAGGCACGAAAGCGUGGGGAGCAAACAGG